CCUACGGGAGGCGGCAGUGAGGAAUAUUGGUCAAUGGACGAGAGUCUGAACCAGCCAAGUAGCGUGAAGGAUGACUGCCCUAUGGGUUGUAAACUUCUUUUAUAAAGGAAUAAAACGAGGCACGUGUGCCUUUUUGCAUGUACUUUAUGAAUAAGGAUCGGCUAACUCCGUGCCAGCAGCCGCGGUAAUACGGAGGAUCCGAGCGUUAUCCGGAUUUAUUUGGUUUAAAGGGAGCGUAGAUGGGUUGUUAAGUCAGUUGUGAAAGUUUGCGGCUCAACCGUAAAAUUGCAAUUGAUACUGGCAGUCUUGAGUACAGUUGAGGUAAGCGGAAUUCGUGGUGUAGCGGUGAAAUGCUUAGAUAUCACGAAGAACCCCGAUUGCGAAGGCAGCUUACUAAACUGUGACUGACAUUGAUGCUCGAAAGUGUGGGUAUCAAACAGGAUUAGAUACCCUUGUAGUC
rnacentral:rRNA from 1 species